rnacentral:rRNA from 1 species
GAGAAUGCCGGUGUGAGUAGCGAAAGACGGGUGAGAAUCCCGUCCACCGAUUGACUAAGGUUUCCAGAGGAAGGCUCGUCCGCUCUGGGUUAGUCGGGUCCUAAGCUGAGGCCGACAGGCGUAGGCGAUGGAUAACAGGUUGAUAUUCCUGUACCACCUAUAAUCGUUUUAAUCGAUGGGGGGACGCAGUAGGAUAGGCGAAGCGUGCGAUUGGAUUGCACGUCUAAGCAGUAAGGCUGAGUAUUAGGCAAAUCCGGUACUCGUUAAGGCUGAGCUGUGAUGGGGAGAAGACAUUGUGUCUUCGAGUCGUUGAUUUCACACUGCCGAGAAAAGCCUCUAGAUAGAAAAUAGGUGCCCGUACCGCAAACCGACACAGGUAGUCAAGAUGAGAAUUCUAAGGUGAGCGAGCGAACUCUCGUUAAGGAACUCGGCAAAAUGACCCCGUAACUUCGGGAGAAGGGGUGCUCUUUAGGGUUAACGCCCAGAAGAGCCGCAGUGAAUAGGCCCAAGCGACUGUUUAUCAAAAACACAGGUCUCUGCUAAACCGUAAGGUGAUGUAUAGGGGCUGACGCCUGCCCGGUGCUGGAAGGUUAAGAGGAGUGGUUAGCUUCUGCGAAGCUACGAAUCGAAGCCCCAGUAAACGGCGGCCGUAACUAUAACGGUCCUAAGGUAGCGAAAUUCCUUGUCGGGUAAGUUCCGACCCGCACGAAAGGCGUAACGAUUUGGGCACUGUCUCAACGAGAGACUCGGUGAAAUCAUAGUACCUGUGAAGAUGCAGGUUACCCGCGACAGGACGGAAAGACCCCGUGGAGCUUUACUGUAGCCUGAUAUUGAAAUUCGGCACAGCUUGUACAGGAUAGGUAGGAGCCUUUGAAACGUGAGCGCUAGCUUACGUGGAGGCGCUGGUGGGAUACUACCCUAGCUGUGUUGGCUUUCUAACCCGCACCACUUAUCGUGGUGGGAGACAGUGUCAGGCGGGCAGUUUGACUGGGGCGGUCGCCUCCUAAAAGGUAACGGAGGCGCUCAAAGGUUCCCUCAGAAUGGUUGGAAAUCAUUCAUAGAGUGUAAAGGCAUAAGGGAGCUUGACUGCGAGACCUACAAGUCGAGCAGGGUCGAAAGACGGACUUAGUGAUCCGGUGGUUCCGCAUGGAAGGGCCAUCGCUCAACGGAUAAAAGCUACCCCGGGGAUAACAGGCUUAUCUCCCCCAAGAGUUCACAUCGACGGGGAGGUUUGGCACCUCGAUGUCGGCUCAUCGCAUCCUGGGGCUGUAGUCGGUCCCAAGGGUUGGGCUGUUCGCCCAUUAAAGCGGUACGCGAGCUGGGUUCAGAACGUCGUGAGACAGUUCGGUCCCUAUCCGU